GCCUCGCCUCCCUAGCCAAGAGUUGUUAGUGUUUUUAAAAGCAAUAUACAAGCACGCUCCAUGUAUAUAAAAAGUGUAAAUUCAAAUGUUGAUAUAUUGGUAAUUGUAGACCGCUUACUACUAACCCUGAUAAUUUCAUAAAGAUAUACCACAGGCUCUAUACUAAAGUUUUCCUAAAAUAAAGUGGGAUAGAGAAAAAAAAUUGAGAAGAAGCAAAUAUCAAAAAAAUUGCUUGUAAAAGGUAUCUCCGUGAAAGGCGACAUAAAAAACUAAAUUACGAUAAUGACAUCCUCAUGUGAAAUCAGACUCUAUACUUUGACAGCUUGUAGUGUGUAGCCCGUAGCGAUAAUUCUGGUUGUUAUAUACGAAAGCAAAACACUUGAAGAUAUUGACCUAAAGUGAAUGAGCUAUUGAAAAAAUAUCGAAAAUAAAUAAAAACAAUAUACUAGGUUAAUUACUUCAAGCUAUACAUAUCUUGGUAUUAUAUUCGCUUGAAAAUGGUGCAGAAAAUUGUAUACAUAAAUAUGUUUGUGUUAUAGAGUUCUAAUGGUAAUAUUUAUUGAAAUAUUUAUCGUGUGAUUCAGCUUGUUCAUUGACACUAAUAAGUGGAAAAUAGCCAAGGACUAUGUUUUGUAUAUGUUUAGUCAAUGUCUGUGAAUGGGUGAAUAUUUACACGUGUGUUUAUGACGAAGUGUAAAAAACUAUAUAUGGGAGUUUAUUGACCACAGGGCACUCUAUUUCGUACGAAAAGAUCAACUAAUGAAGCAGUUUGACUGGAAAGGAUGCUUCUCGUCUAGCCGCAGUAGUAGAUUUAAAAAUAUUCGACAAAGCUUUGCGUUGUGGCAUCUUUAUCUUCAAAGGAGCUGCGAUAAUUACGGAAACGUUCGUGAGGCUUAGGAGCUGCGUCACCAACGCAUGACACCAAUAUAGACUUUUGUAUAUGUGGUUUUGCUUACAAUAUUUUGCAGAUUUUUGAAAAUGAAUUUAUUGCUAUAUUAUUAAUUCUUUGUAUGAUAUAUAAACCAUGUACCUGAUCUAUGUAAAAAUAUUAAAAUAUAGACUGAAUCUUAAAACAUU